rnacentral:rRNA from 1 species
UAAUCGGAAUUGAAUCGGGCUCCGGCCCGAUCCUCCCACCCUUUGUGUACCUACCUCUGUUGCUUUGGCGGGCCGCGGUCCUCCGCGGCCGCCCCCCUCCCCGGGGGGUGGCCAGCGCCCGCCAGAGGACCAUCAAACUCCAGUCAGUAAACGAUGCAGUCUGAAAAACAUUUAAUAAACUA